UACGUAGGGAGCAAGCGUUGUCCGGAAUCAUUGGGCGUAAAGAGCGUGUAGGCGGUCCGGUAAGUCCGCUGUGAAAGUCGGGGGCUCAACCCUCGAAUGCCGGUGGAUACUGUCGGGCUAGAGUGCGGAAGAGGCGAGUGGAAUUCCUGGUGUAGCGGUGAAAUGCGCAGAUAUCGGGAGGAACACCGGUGGCGAAGGCGGUUCUCUGGGCCUGACCUGACGCUGAGGAGCGAAAGCGUGGGGAGCGAACAGG
rnacentral:rRNA from 1 species